rnacentral:sRNA from 1 species
GUGUCGGUGUCUGAACCUGUUAGUCCAGUGGAGAUUCCCAGAGUUAGGAGUCCUGUUUAAUAAUAACACAAACUUUUGUCUUUUCUACAUUCUUAUUUAACAACAACCCAUCACCUGAAAGCUAGGUUUUAGUUCUAACGUGAGUUCAUAAUUAAUUCUUUUACAUGUGAUAAAAUUGGCGAAAGUUGGGAUAAACUACUCAUGUAGGGGAUGUGGCCCAGUAACAAUGAGAGACAUUUUUUUUUAUUUAAUGGUCUUACCAUCAAACAUUAACAAUUAUGCAUGUAAUCAAUACGGUUUUCCAACGUUUUUUUUAACUUAAUAUUUAUUGCUUAUCGUUUAAAUUAGAAAAAGCAAGGAUUGUUUAGUUAAUUAUCAUUUGAAUAUUCCUUUACUAUGACAUUUUUGACAAUGUUCUUGAGUCAUGGCUCGAUAUUAAAGACUGGCUAUUAUUGUAAAUGGCUAUUUUCAUGAAAUAGUAAUGUAAAAUGCUAUUGUGUCUGUUUUACAAGAAAAAAUUAACAAGAAAUAAAAUAUCUUGAUAUACUG